UACGGAGGGUGCAAGCGUUAUCCGGAUUCACUGGGUUUAAAGGGUGCGUAGGCGGGUUGGUAAGUCCGUGGUGAAAUCUCCAGCUUAACUUGGAAACUGCCGUGGAUACUAUCAAUCUUGAAUAUAGUGGAGGUGAGCGGAAUAUGUCAUGUAGCGGUGAAAUGCUUAGAUAUGACAUAGAACACCAAUUGCGUAGGCAGCUUACUACACGAUCAUUGACGCUGAGGCACGAAAGCGUGGGGAGCAAACUGAUGAUA
rnacentral:rRNA from 1 species